AGAGAAUCUCUCACGAAUGCGGAAUAUAGAUCCCUGUUUAAGAAUGCAAUAUCGAUGACGAUUUCAAUGCCACAAAAAGAAGGAUGAAGAAAAAAAUAUAAAACACAAGCAAAUUCUGUGGAUUGGCUCAAACUCUACCUCCAACUGCUAGGCAAAUCAAGACAGCUCAUUAAAUCAAAAUUUUGCUAAUUGUGGGAUAGAAAAGAAAAACUUGCCUAGGUUUUCACCUUACAAUAACAAAGAACUAU
rnacentral:lncRNA from 1 species